rnacentral:lncRNA from 11 species
UUCAUCUUUGCCUCUAAUAUCCUUCCCUCCAGUGAGCAGCUGUGCCAUUAUAGUCACCAAUCUCUCCAUUAAGAAAAAGCUGCCUUGGAAGAAAGGUGGGAUAAAAAUCAAGAAAG